rnacentral:rRNA from 1 species
GAUGAACGCUGGCGGCGUGCCUAAUACAUGCAAGUCGAACGAAACUUCUUUAUCACCGCAUGCUUGCACUCACCGAUAAAGAGUUGAGUGGCGAACGGGUGAGUAACACGUGGGCAACCUGCCCAAAAGAGGGGGAUAACACUUGGAAACAGGUGCUAAUACCGCAUAACCAUAGUUACCGCAUGGUAACUAUGUAAAAGGUGGCUAUACUACCGCUUUUGGAUGGGCCCGCGGCGCAUUAGCUAGUUGGUAGGGUAAAGGCUUACCAAGGCAAUGAUGCGUAGCCGAAUUGAGAGGUUGAUCGGCCACAUUGGGACUGAGACACGGCCCAAACUCCUACGGGAGGCAGCAGUAGGGAAUCUUCCACAAUGGGCGAAAGCCUGAUGGAGCAACGCCGCGUGGGUGAAGAAGGUCUUCGGAUCGUAAAACCCUGUUGUUAGAGAAGAAAGUGCGUGAGAGUAACUGUUCACGUUUCGACGGUAUCUAACCAGAAAGCCACGGCUAACUACGUG